rnacentral:lncRNA from 1 species
GCACAUGUCAACCAAUUCCCAUCUUUGUUUACUCAGAUUCAAGAUUUCUUCCCAUCAUCUUCAUAUAUAAUCGGCACAAGACAGACAAACAUGCAGGUAUGGUAAAGCACUAAAACAUGAGUCAAAUAAGGUGGUCGUUUUAUCUGCAACACAAGUAUGCUCUUCCACUAAGCAAUUCAGUUCUUAAGGUAAAGUAAAAACAUGUUUGGCUAGCUUAAACAGAUUACUUAUUAAGUAAAUAAGCAAGUUUUCAUACAUUAAUCUUUUUGUUGGUCAAAGUUGAAACGGGUUACUUGUUUUUACAUAAAGAUAAGAGUUACCUUUCAAAAUUAACUCUUCUUUAAACUCGGAAAUAUGAAAAAUAUAAAUAAUUAAACAUGUUUGGUAAUAAGCUUCGCCAGACACACUCAUAACUAGAAUGACGGGAGGAAGAUCCUUGUGAAGCCCUGAAACAGUUAUCUUUUCACCUUGUGCUUCUUUUUCAAAGGAUCGAAAGCAUUAACAAUGCCUAGGUAAAACCUGAAUAAAUCUAAAAAGUGAGAAAAUAAUUUCUGGUGAACAUAUAAUAUUCAAGGAAAAAAUUGCCUCCAACAUGGUUUGGCAUGUAGUCUAAGAUGAUGUCUGACACACUACAGAGUUCAACAUAAAAAAAGAGGCUCAGAAUGGAACUUUUCUACAGAGUUCCAUACUACUACCUAGUUGGUCCAUAAACGUCACAUUACU